UACGGAGGGUGCAAGCGUUAUCCGGAUUCACUGGGUUUAAAGGGUGUGUAGGCGGGCAUGUAAGUCAGUGGUGAAAUCUCCGGGUUCAACCUGGAAACUGCCAUUGAUACUAUAUGUCUUGAAUUUUGUUGAGGUUGGCGGAAUAAGUCAUGUAGCGGUGAAAUGCAUAGAUAUGACUUAGAACACCGAUUGCGAAGGCAGCUAACUAAGCAAAUAUUGACGCUGAGGCACGAAAGCGUGGGGAUCAAACAGG
rnacentral:rRNA from 1 species